rnacentral:rRNA from 1 species
CAGCAGUAGCCGCGGUAAUACAGAGGGUGCAAGCGUUAAUCGGAAUUACUGGGCGUAAAGCGCGCGUAGGUGGUUUGUUAAGUUGGAUGUGAAAUCCCCGGGCUCAACCUGGGAACUGCAUCCAAAACUGGCAGGCUAGAGUAGGGCAGAGGGUGGUGGAAUUUCCUGUGUAGCGGUGAAAUGCGUAGAUAUAGGAAGGAACACCAGUGGCGAAGGCGACCACCUGGGCUCAUACUGACACUGAGGUGCGAAAGCGUGGGGAGCAAACAGGAUUAGAUACCCGGGUAGUCCCUGUCUCUUAUAC